AACGCACCUUGCACCCUUUGGUAUUCCGAAGGGUAUGCCUGUUUGAGUGUCAUUAAAUUCUCAAACCUGCUGGUCUUUAUUGACUAUGUAGGCUUUGGAUGUGGGAGUUGCUGGCCUAACAGUUGGCUCUCCUUAAAUGCAUUAGUGGCUUGUCGAUCCCCAUUCACUUGGUGUGAUAGUAAUAUCUACAUUGAGGAUGGCUAGGUCAUGCUAUGACAACUGCUUUCUAACUGUCCUUUACUGGACAACUUGAACCAUUUGACCUCAAAUCAGGUAGGACUACCCGCUGAACUUAA
rnacentral:misc_RNA from 1 species